GAAUGCUUCACUACUCCAUGUGUGAAGGUAGUGGGAACACUAAGCCGACUAGUGUUAAACACUACCGUUGACUUCUCAGUUUUACUAAUUGGUGGCUGACCUGAACUUAGCACAUUCUGUGUUAGAUUGCUCAACCUGUCUGCUCCGCAGAAAGCCGCCGCCUUAACCACUACUUGCUUUCUUUUUUCGAGUUAGUCUACACCCAAAGCCACUGUCAGAUGUCACAGGGAUGAGACUUCACAAGGUUCUUACAAUCCCCAGCUCCCACAUACUUCAUAUUUCCUGCUUCUGGUGAAAAAAUACAAAAGCUCUAAUGCAUUUCAACUUGUCCAAAUGGGCCCUCAGUGUGGAAGAUGACUUUAGUUUCUCAAACAGGUAAGGGAAAUCACUUUUGAAGUAGCAAGACACAGUACUAGAUUAAUAUGACUUAGGGUAAGUAACAAACUGCAUUUAUUUUCAUGUUUUUAUAGUUUGAACAUGUACCCAUAAUCACAUCAAUAUAAAUAUAUCCAUAAGCACAAUCUUUGUUGAACCUCUGUUUUAGAGAUUCUACUAUUCCUCACCUCCUCUAGUAAGUUCUACCUAAACACUCCUUUCUUGCUAGCUUUGGUUUACUGAUACCACAAUGGUCAAGCUAACCUCUAUUCCA
rnacentral:lncRNA from 1 species